rnacentral:rRNA from 1 species
GACGAACGCUGGCGGCGUGCUUAACACAUGCAAGUCGAACGACGUGGCGAACGGGUGAGUAACGCGUAAUCAACCUGCCCUUCAGAGGGGGACAACCGUUGGAACCGACUGCUAAUACCGCAUACUGAAGGAGGGGAUUGCGGCUGAUUAGCUAGUUGGUGGGGUAACGGCCCACCAAGGCGAUGACCAGUAGCCGGUCUUGGAUGAUGAACGGCCACAUUGGGACUGAUACACGGCCCAGACUCCUACGGGAGGCAGCAGUGGGGAAUCUUCCGGAAUGGGCGAAAGUCUGACGGAGCAACGCCGCGGGAGGGAUGACGGCCUUCGGGUUGUAAAGCUCUUUUAAUCGGGACGCGGUACCGGAAUAGAAAGCCACGGCUAAAUACGUGCCAGCAGCCGCGGUAAUUC